UACGAGGGGUGCAAGCGUUGCUCGGAAUUAUUGGGCGUAAAGGGUAGGUAGGUGGUCUCAUUUGUCUGGGGUGAAAGCCUUGAGCUUAACUCAAGAAGUGCCCCGGAAACGGUGAGACUGGAGUCUUGGAGAGGGUCGUGGAAUUCCCGGUGUAGCGGUGAAAUGCGUAGAGAUCGGGAGGAACACCAGCGGCGAAGGCGGCGACCUGGACAAGUACUGACACUCAACUACGAAAGCGUGGGGAGCAAACAGG
rnacentral:rRNA from 1 species